GACGAACGCUGGCGGCGUGCUUAACACAUGCAAGUCGAACGAAGUGGCGAACGGGUGAGUAACGCGUAAUUAACCUGCCCUUCAGAGGGGGACAACAGUUGGAAACGACUGCUAAUACCGCAUACUGAAGGAGGGGAUUGCGUCUGAUUAGCUAGUUGGAGGGGUAACGGCCUACAAAGGCGGUGACGGGUAGCCGGGCUGGGAGGGUGACCGGCCACAUUGGGACGGAGAGACGGCCCAGACUCCUACGGGAAGCAGCAGUGGGGGAUAGUGAACAAUGGGCGAAAGUCUGAUGCAGCGACGCCGCGUGGGGGAUGAAGGCUUUCGGGUUGUAAACCUCUUUCGCUAGCGAACGGGUAGGUGGAGAAGAAGCGCCGGCUAACUACGUGCCAGCCGCCGCGGUAAUAC
rnacentral:rRNA from 1 species